UUCUCAUUAAAAAUAGUUAAUUACAAAAAUGCCACAAGAAAAUAGUUUCAGAACAACAUCCAUUUAUAAUUACGAUUUUGUUGUUCCAUUUCAAUAUAUCAAAAACAUAAACACUUCACAAAAGUGGUUAAAGUUCAAGACGUUCAAGAUAGAAUGUCAACAGUGUCAAAAUUCAUCCGAUUUUCGUGCAAAAGUUAAAAUAAUUUUAACUUCUUCCGAUGACUUUUUAAUUUCGUACGAAAACCCAACUGUCACUUUUCAGCCAAUGAAAUGCUCUGAAAUUUCUAUCGUAUCAUCGUACCGUCGGAUAUCGGAUCUGUGAAAAUCCACCUUUAAACGAAAAUUAUCGGUGUGCCAAUCAAGCAAAGGGACAAGGAACUUCCGAAUAUGGCCUAACUGGGGGCACAUAACAUAACAUAACCUAAUCCUAAUAUUUACAUUUGUAAAGAAUAUCCUGUUUGUUUUUAUUGUCGAUUGUGCAGCGAAAUUGUGUGCAGCAAAUCAAAUAUAAAGUAGUUUAUCGCCUACAGAACUGAAUUAGUCCAUAGCAGUUAUCAGUUUUUCUUUCUUGGGAAGCUUAUACAUGUAACUUGUAUUGUUGUAAAUUGUGGGAGUAGGGCAGACAGGGAAAAGUCUUAUUUUGUACUGUUCCCAAGGCUCCCCAUGCAAUACAUUUAAAUGAAUUAUCCAAACAAAGCCGGGGACAAUGGAUAAAAGCCACAAGAAGAACAGAUAUAAGGGAACUAAAAUUAAAAUAUGAAAAGUAAACAUUUUAUAAGUGGAACAACCACCAGAUAUUUAAAAGGUAUAAAAAGAAGAAACUGCUGGAAUUUCAAAACAAAUGUGUUUGACUAGUAAAGAUUUGGAUAAAUAACAGGAGUUAUUUCAUGUUAAUUCUUAUUAAUUAUACACUUAAAUAUGUUUUUAGUCUCAGGAAGAUUUUAUAUUUGAUUAUUUUUGAAUAAACAUUAUUAUUAUUAUUACCUUAAUUUCCAUUAAAUAAAUUAACUGUAAUCAAUAAAGUAAUCGUUUAAUUGUUAAUAAAUUAUCAAGUAUGA